CCUGAGGCGGGCGCUGAGGGAGGGCGCGGAAAAUGGAAUUAAAGGCGGAAUUAAAGCCGGAGUUGAAGGAGAAAUUUUAAACUAUGAGGGAAAACCGGCCGUGAGCGCGGCGUCCGCGUUGUCCGGCUGCCCGGCACGGCGGGUCUCUGGAAUUUGGGAAUGGGAUGAAGCUGGAGCUGCCUGGCACAGCAGUGUCAGGAGAAUGUCCUGACCUGGCCUGAACCAAACGUGCACAGAAAGAUGCAGAAACUUGUACUGGAGAUGGAGAACAAAUUUCCUCCCUUUGCCUGGAUACCCACUGUUAGAUCUGAAACUGUCAGGCUCUACCCCAGUCCAAUGAGUGAAGACAGAAAUAUUUUAAGCUUUACCCAUUUUUGCUUUGUGAUUGUGAAGUUCUGGCUGAUCAAACCCUUUGUUGCUUCAGAAAUACUUUCAAUGUGACUGUUUAAAGCACUCUUAGUGGGGGGAAAUGUUUUAAUAAAUUGAAAAUGCAAAUUA